UACGUAGGGGGCAAGCGUUGUCCGGAAUCAUUGGGCGUAAAGCGCGUGUAGGCGGCCAGAAAAGUCCGCUGUGAAAACCCGAGGCUCAACUUCGAGCUGUCGGUGGAAACUUUCUGGCUAGAGUCCGGAAGAGGAGAAUGGAAUUCCUGGUGUAGCGGUGAAAUGCGCAGAUAUCAGGAAGAACACCCGUGGCGAAGGCGGUUCUCUGGGCCACUACUGACGCUGAGAAGCGAAAGCAUGGGGAGCGAACAGG
rnacentral:rRNA from 1 species